GAUGAACGCUGGCGGCGUGCCUAAUACAUGCAAGUCGAGCGAAUGGAUCAAGAGCUUGCUCUUAUGAAGUUAGCGGCGGACGGGUGAGUAACACGUGGGUAACCUGCUCAUAAGACUGGGAUAACUCCGGGAAACCGGGGCUAAUACCGGAUAACAUUUUGAACCGCAUGGUUCGAAAUUGAAAGGCGGCUUCGGCUGUCACUUAUGGAUGGACCCGCGUCGCAUUAGCUAGUUGGUGAGGUAACGGCUCACCAAGGCAACGAUGCGUAGCCGACCUGAGGGGGGGAUCGGCCACACUGGGACUGGAACACGGCCCAGACUCCUACGGGAGGGAGCAGUAGGGAAUCUUCCGCAAUGGACGAAAGUCUGACGGAGCAACGCCGCGUGAGUGGUGAAGGCUUUCGGGUCGUAAAACUCUGUUGUUAGGGAAGAACAAGUGCUAGUUGAAUAAGCUGGCACCUUGACGGUACCUAACCAGAAAGCCACGGCUAACUACGUGCCAGCCGCCGCAGUAA
rnacentral:rRNA from 1 species